GGAUGUGGAGAUGAUAUGGUUGGGACAUCUGCCACCCUAUUGAUCACCAGAGUUGAUUUUGCUGAUGUGGCUGGCUCAGAAGGUUCCCCUUCUCUCCCUUGCCACUCCAUAUAUGUCCCUCCCGAAGCUGUGUGCUCCAUGAAAAAGGGCAACCAACCUUCCCCAAAUAGAGGCAGGUCUGUGUUUGGUGAAUAUCAGCUGUGUUCUGCUAGAGCCUCCAAAUUAGCUGUCAAGGGAAGGAUGCAAGGAAGCAGUGAUCUCAUGGCCUACAUGACAGGCUCUUGCACGAAGGGGAAAGAGAAGAGCUAUGAGCCAUUGAAU
ensembl:misc_RNA 7SK 7SK RNA